rnacentral:tRNA from 4 species
GGGCCGUUAGCUCAAUUGGUAGAGCAGCUGACUCUUAAUCAGUAGGUUGUAGGUUCGAUUCCUACACGGCCCACCA